UACAGCUCACAGUGGGGUGCCCAGAACACCCCACAGUUGUGGGGAGCAGCUGGCGCAAGAGAAGUAAGUCCUGAGGCUGCAGCAAAGAUUUUGGGUCAUUUGCAGUGGCUCAGUGGGACCUUGCAGAGGCAAAAAGCAGCUGGGGAUGUGCUCUACAGUUCUGUGCUGGUUUGCAGGUUCCUCAGGAGUGGUCCUGGGUCAUCUGGCACGUUCAGGUUUGGGUUCACUGGUUCCCAGAACUUCAGCACUCCACCACCUGCUGUCAUGACAUACCCUCAUAGACACUGAAGCACGCUGAAGUGUUGAUGCUCCUACCAGUGGUCCUGUGGACUUGACAGCCUCAAGGGGAGUAGUACAGAUGUUUAAAAGGUAUGAGGAGUGGUGGGUCUGCCUUCAGUGGUAGGAUACAGGCUGUGUUUUUGUCUUGAGUCAAACACCUCCACUUGUGCUGGGGCAUGUCCUGGCCUUUGGUACAACAUCCUUUGUCCUGAUAUCUGGGGCAGGAUCACUAUAUCAGGUACUACAGGGGGGUGGGGGUUCUCAUUUGCCGUGUGGACAUGUCUCACUUCAGGUGCAAGCAUAAACACUCAUAACUACAGGAAAACCACGUGGAAACAGAAAUACGAUCAUGAUGUAUGUUCCACCGCCAAAUGCUCUAGGAGUUCCGUAAACCGAGGUUUAUGGAACCAAAAUCAGAUUGCUAGUUUCUGAAAGAGAUUUGGUGAAGGCUUUGAGGUUUUCAAAGGAAUAAGCCAUUGUGAGCAUAAAAGACAGCCAAGGACUAGGUAACAGUAUCGAAACUGGGAGGUAUGAGUUUGCUUCUCAUCCAAGAUAAAUGGCAGAGAGGUGUACCUAUCGGUGGUAGAAAAAGAGAGACCACACUCUACAUCACACGGAUAGGUGGCAAGAUUAAAUAAAAUGCAGGCCACAUGGGCAGAUGAUGUACAAAAGAAAAAGAAAACAAAUGAAAUCAGAGUCAGCCUGAAGAUAUUUCUCCUAGAAACACCUACGAGCCAUCACCUCCUUUCCUAUCACUGUUGUAUCACUGUUCCCUGGGAGCAGAAGCUGACCUUCACCACACCUCAAACAUGUUUCAGGGAGUUGCAGAGAGUGAUAAGGUCUCCCUUGGAGCCUUAUCUUCUUCAGACUCAACAAUCCUAGCUCCCUCAGCCACUCCCCAAAAGACUUGGAUUCCAGACCAUUCUCCACUUUCGUUGCCCCUCUCCGGACACAUUCCAUGGCCUCAAGGUCUUUCUUGGAGUGAGUGGCCCAAAACUGAACACACAGCUCAUGUUGUGGCCUCACCAGGCAGACAAUCACCUCCUUAGUCCUCUUGAAUGAUCUUUGAACUCUCUGAUAUGUACUAUCUUUGUGUCUUUGUAUACUUGCCUGUGAAUUAUUCAGGCCCCUCUAUGAAUUCUGUGAAAAGCAUCAUCGUAAACUGCAGAGCAAAGAAAUCAAUACGGCAUAAAA